rnacentral:rRNA from 1 species
UACGAAGGGGGCUAGCGUUGUUCGGAUUUACUGGGCGUAAAGCGCACGUAGGCGGAUCGUUAAGUCGGGGGUGAAAUCCUGGAGCUCAACUCCAGAACUGCCUUCGAUACUGGCGAUCUUGAGUCCGGAAGAGGUGAGUGGAACUCCUAGUGUAGAGGUGGAAUUCGUAGAUAUUAGGAAGAACACCAGUGGCGAAGGCGGCUCACUGGUCCGGUACUGACGCUGAAGCGCGAAAGCUAGGGGAGCAAACAGG